rnacentral:sRNA from 1 species
UUCCUCAUAUAUUGCGUUGGCUAAACGCACC